AAAACCUAAAUAAUGAAAUUAAUUAUAGAAACCGAAUUAAGAAAAUAAUGGAAGACCUAAAAGAAAAAUUAAUAUGGAUAGAAAAAACAUUAGAAAAUUUAGAUAAAAGUACAUGUGAUAGUUUAUAUAAUUUAAAAAACUCACUACGAGAAGAACAACACAAGAUAAUAAGUAACAUUGAAAAUCUAGAAUUAGAUAUACAUUAUAG
rnacentral:lncRNA from 1 species